CCUGCGAAGCUCGCCUUCCAUCUUCUUCAAUCUUUUUGUCAAAUGAAGAACUUUCUUCUUCAGCCGCUGGAUCGUGGACUUCAGCGGAAUCCCCUAUGGUAGGAGAAGCACUUCGGUAGGACAUUGCCAUCGGGAGACAAAAGCGUCAAGGCGCGUCUCAUUGCAGAAAGAAAACAAAAAAGGAGGAGGAAGGAGGAGAGGAGAAGCCAUCCAC
rnacentral:lncRNA from 1 species